ACUCCUGCGGGAGGCAGCAGUGGGGAAUUUUGGACAAUGGGCGAAAGCCUGAUCCAGCCAUGCCGCGUGCAGGAUGAAGGCCUUCGGGUUGUAAACUGCUUUUGUACGGAACGAAACGGCCUUUUCUAAUAAAGAGGGCUAAUGACGGUACCGUAAGAAUAAGCACCGGCUAACUACGUGCCAGCAGCCGCGGUAAUACGUAGGGUGCAAGCGUUAAUCGGAAUUACUGGGCGUAAAGCGUGCGCAGGCGGUUAUGUAAGACAGUUGUGAAAUCCCCGGGCUCAACCUGGGAACUGCAUCUGUGACUGCAUAGCUAGAGUACGGUAGAGGGGGAUGGAAUUCCGCGUGUAGCAGUGAAAUGCGUAGAUAUGCGGAGGAACACCGAUGGCGAAGGCAAUCCCCUGGACCUGUACUGACGCUCAUGCACGAAAGCGUGGGGAGCAAACAGGAUUAGAAACCCUAGUAGUCC
rnacentral:rRNA from 1 species